GUAAUGUAAAUNGCAGAUUUUCAGUGAAUCAUCGAUUCUUUUGAACGCNCCUUGCGCCCCUUGGUAUUCCGAGGGGCAUGCCUGUUUGAGUGUCAUU
rnacentral:rRNA from 1 species